UACGUAGGGGGCAAGCGUUGUCCGGAAUUAUUGGGCGUAAAGAGCGUGUAGGCGGUCCGGUAAGUCGGCUGUGAAAGUCCAGGGCUCAACCCCUGGGAUGCCGGUCGAUACUGCCGGACUAGAGUUCGGAAGAGGCGAGUGGAAUUCCCGGUGAUAGCGGUGAAAUGCGCAGAUAUCGGGGAGGAACACCAGUGGCGAAGGCGACUUCCUGGCCUGUUCUUGACGCUGAGGCGCGAAAGCUAGGGUAGCAAACGGG
rnacentral:rRNA from 1 species